rnacentral:misc_RNA from 1 species
GAAAUGCGAUAAGUAAUGUGAAUUGCAGAAUUCAGUGAAUCAUCGAAUCUUUGAACGCACAUUGCGCCCGCCAGUAUUCUGGCGGGCAUGCCUGUCCGAGCGUCAUUUCAACCAUCAAGCCCCCGGGCUUGUGUUGGGGACCUGCGGCUGCCCGCAGGCCCUGAAAACCAGUGGCGGGCUCGCUGUCACACCGAGCGUAGUAGCAAUCACCUCGCUCAGGGCGUGCUGCGGGUUCCGGCCGUUAAACAGCCUUACAAAACCCAAGGUUGAUCUCGGAUCAGGUAGGAAGACCCGCUGAACUUAAGC